UACGGAAGGUCCGGGCGUUAUCCGGAUUUAUUGGGUUUAAAGGGAGCGUAGGCCGGAGAUUAAGCGUGUUGUGAAAUGUAGACGCUCAACGUCUGCACUGCAGCGCGAACUGGUUUCCUUGAGUGCGCGGAAGGCAGGCGGAAUUUGUGGUGUAGCGGUGAAAUGCUUAGAUAUCACGAAGAACCCCGAUUGCGAAGGCAGCUCACUGGAGCGCAACUGACGCUGAAGCUCGAAAGUGCGGGUAUCGAACAGG
rnacentral:rRNA from 1 species